UUAUUUCUAGGCCUAUAUCAAUUUCUCAGUUAAUAAGGCAAAGGGCUCUGCAGCCUGUCUUGUAAUGGAGGCCUUCUUGGAGCGCUUGCUGUUCCAGCCUUCCAGUAGUGUUUUCUUCAAAAAGAAUGUGGUUGUUUCAAAGGGAGAAAUCAACUUUCAUCCUGAAAGACCUCAUGAGGUGUCAGGAUCACUUUCCUGCUAUGCUCUAAGAGACAGGUUGCUUGGUCUUUCCGCCCUCGGUGAUUUACAGAAAGAAUUUUUCAACCCACUUGGCUGCUUUUGGUUCCUGUGUUAACUCCAUAAGAUCAGUCAAUUGGGGCAGAAUUACACAUGCCAAGAACAUGAGACUGCCACUGAAAAUGGCAACAGGGAGUUGAGUUCCCCACAUCUCCCCACAAACAUCUAACUCAACUUUCCCUGCGUCCUGACAUCAUUACUAUGUGUGUCUUGCAUUGGCGGCAGCUAAUAAUAUGGAGCAGGGCUGGGAAAGCACGCCUCAUAACAGUAUCAGGGCAGGAUGAACUAGACAUUGCAGAGAAAGAGGGGAAAACCCAACACAGGGCUGCAGUUUUCAGCAACAGCCCUGUGUUCUUUGAAAUGUUGAAUCCCAACAACAGGAAGUUCAGGAGGCAGCAUCAGGAGGGAAAGGCUACAGCACUAAGUGAAUGGAUUGCAGAUCUUUUUGCUGUGUGAAUUCAACCACAAACCAUCCUGACCAUCUGAUUGCCCUGGUCUGCCUUGCAGAUAUCCAGAAGUGCAUGGUUCGCACAGUUCCCAGGACUCUCAGGACUGUGGGGAAGGGGGACUCCAUGCCAGCAUGUUGUUUAUGGUCUACUCACUUGCAAAGCAGGGCGUAAGGACAGACGAUGUCAAGUGGGAGGCACAAGAAGGCCUUGGGAUGGGACUUCCGAGGGUUUCCUAUAACUUUCAAGUCUUCUAGACAAUAGAUGGAGCCCAAAAAACCUUGAGCAAUGACACCUAAGCAUUUCCGGCUUACGACUGGUGAGCGCAAUAAUAAUUCUGCCAUUUUAAAUGCAAGUGGUGAGGGAGAAAUCUUUGAAAUGGGAAGAUGAUUGCAGUCUUUAACUGCCAGGUGGAAAAAAAAAUUACCCACAUUUUCAAAUGACAGCUUAAGUGAAACAUAGUACAUUGAGAACAUCAUCUGGAGCGGGAAGAAAAUGCAAGUUCCAGUUAAGUGUGUGUGUGUGUGUGUGUGUGUGUGUGUGUAUUCAAAUUACCCAUCACACUAACACUUCACCUGUAGGGCUUAGGCAGAGAAUCAACACGGUCCCCAUCUGCUGGGGUGUUCUAGGAUGAAAUAGCAUAUUGACCCUGAAUCCAUACUCGGUGUAAAAAGCAAUUGUUAUUCUGCCACUGUAACACCUUGUUGCCAAUGGCGAUGUAAUUAAAGCAGUGAGGACUCA